rnacentral:tRNA from 1 species
AAAAAGGUAAGCUAAGAAAGCUUGUGGGUUCAUUCCCCGUUUAUAAAGGUUUAAAUCCUUUUCUUUUUA